AUGGCCGGGGCAGCGUCGUCGGUAGCGCCCGUUCUCGUCAUCUGCUUGCUUUCUCUUGCUCUCUUCCUCCACAGGUGCCGGAGCUGUGAGGCUGUGGAGAGAGAGAGGACGUUGGCAAUGAUCAAGCCGGAUGGUUUGUCUGGCAACUACAAGGAAAAAAUCAAGGAGGCCAUCUUGGGGUCUGGAUUUGAUAUCAUAGAAGAGGCAGUUGUCCAUCUGGAUGCAGAGAGGGCAUCACUCUUCUAUGCUGAACAUGCCGAUAGAAGCUUCUUCAACAGCCUAGUGAAGUACAUGACGAGUGGUCCAGUUUGUGCUAUGGUUCUGGAAAGCCCUGAUGCCAUUUCACGCUGGCGAAAUUUGAUAGGGCCAACUGAUGCAAGAAAGGCUAAAACUUCACACCCUGACAGCAUUAGAGCAAUGUGCGGCUUGGACUCUGAGAAAAAUUGUGUGCAUGGUUCAGAUUCACCGCAAUCUGCAGCCAGAGAGAUUUCGUUUUUCUUCAGAGAUGAUAAAUCUGAAGCGCUGGAACAUGACGAGCUGUAG
rnacentral:rRNA from 1 species